GCGAGACUCAAACACAGCCUAGCCCCUUUGAAGUCUAUUACAAGUUGCAUUAUAAUGAUAUAAAAGGAUGGCAAAAUGAUGAGGCAGAAACUGAAUAUGCGAAUAUUAUUCAACAUAAAGAGGAGGCGGUGGCGAAGUUAAUUUCUAAUGGGACAACGAUAACUACUACCAUGGAUCACGAGCUCGAAAAGGAGGCAAUUGAAAGUGUAUGUGCC